GGGAAUUGUCCGCAAUGGGCGCAAGCCUGACGACGCAACGCCGCGUGGAGGAUGAAGGUCUUCGGAUUGUAAACUCCUGUUGACCGGGAAGAAUGGCUCCCAGGUGAAUAAUCUGGGGGAAUGACGGUACCGGUUGAGGAAGCCACGGCUAACUCUGUGCCAGCAGCCGCGGUAAUACAGAGGUGGCAAGCGUUGUUCGGAAUUACUGGGCGUAAAGGGCGCGUAGGCGGCCGCCUAAGUCAGACGUGAAAUCCCCCGGCUUAACCUGGGAACUGCGUCUGAUACUGGGUGGCUGGAGUCCGGGAGAGGGAUGCGGAAUUCCAGGUGUAGCGGUGAAAUGCGUAGAUAUCUGGAGGAACACCGGUGGCGAAGGCGGCAUCCUGGACCGGUACUGACGCUGAGGCGCGAAAGCUAGGGGAGCAAAC
rnacentral:rRNA from 1 species